UUGACCUUAAUCUCUUCUAGCAAAGGGAUCAAGGUCUCGUUCGUUCUGGUAUGGUGUGGACUUUGCUUUAGAGGAUUUCAAUAUUGGGAUCUUGAAGUGAACGAUUCUCAAUUGGGAACUUGAAUCGAAAGAGAUAGGCUUCCGUUACAUGAUUCAAAAGUUAUAUAAGCGAAGCGGAGGAAGACAAUGGAAGGAAGAAACAACAGGAAAUGGAGAGGAAAGAUGAGGGAUAUUCUCAUCCAACGCUUCCAUAUGAUUUAAUUGAGAGAUUGGAGGAUAUGAAUUAUUGGGAAGAGUGGAGUUGUCCAUGGACGUUUGAUGAAGAGCAAAUGUGGUGGGUUGGAGUGCUUGGGCAGUACUAUCAACUUACUGAAGAUGGUGCUGCAUGAUAUAUGAGCUUAAGAUGAAUGAAAGAGCUCCCUCAAAUCCAUAAAUUUGAAUAAAUAUGUUGUUUGUUUUUUAAGGUUUUUCGUGAUGAUAAACUUGUCACUUAAUUUCAUUCUUAUCUGGAGAUGAACAUUUGCUUCUACACCAAUUUACAUUCCUUAUGUCAGGUCCAAGAUUUGCAUUAAUUGACAGCCUCAUGAGGUCAGAAACAGAUCAGUGUGCAUUGGAUGUGGGAUUUCAGUAAUAUAUCCUCAACAACAUAAACAUGAAAUUAGAAUAAGCAGCUGUACAAAUUGAUAUUAUGAGAAUUAAGUUUCCUUGAUUUCAAUGUCUAAGCAAAUCACACACACUUACACUCUCAUAAAUCAAAAUAAUCUAAGUAUAAUUCUGCAAAUCCUGCCAUCUACGCCCAUCCUCAUAUGCAAUUACCAAUCAUGUGAAAUAGGAGGACUCUCUCACCUGUUACCACCCAAUAUGCCAACACUAACUUACCAUAUUUGCUUUUGGGACAACAAGACAUGCCUCCUUUUCUCUCAUAUAUUUUCCAAAAAUACCCAAUUCACAAUCUCCUCAUUUUAAUAUAUCUGGAUUUUGUAACUCACUCAGAUUUGUGUAAUAUUAAGAGAAUCCAAUACAGAAAUUAUAUGUGCAAGAACUCUUUCUCUGUGUCUCUGUGUGCGUGUCUGUUUAUAUAUAUAUCGGCUCUGCUGAAGGGGUGAACCUAAAGUACAUCGCACGAUAAAUGGCAUUGUCAAAUGAAGAAACGGGAGAAGAGUACGAUAUGAAUGCACACGUCUCACUACCGGAAGACUUAAUUGAGAAGUUGAAGAAUGUUAAGAAUUGGGAGGAGUGGCCAUGUCGAUGGACGUUCGACGAGGAAAAGAUGAGCGUGGUGUGGUUAUGGCCUCACUGCAUUGUUCAUGACAAACCUCCACUUGUCAAUCAUGAUUUUGAGA